rnacentral:rRNA from 1 species
AUGGAUCCAAGCUAUCACAGGAGGUCACAGAUGGAGGAUGAAUUCAUGUUAUUUGUCUUCCCUACCAUGGAAGAAGGAAGGGAGAAAAAACCAAUGCAUACAUCUAGUCUUACAGGAGCUGCUUAUGUCCAGGAAAUCUUAAAUGGGCAUGAAAGCUUAUGCAGAAGGCAUUUCAGAAUGGAGGCUUACAUCUUUCAUGCUCUAGUUGAGAAGCUGCGUGAGAAUGAAAUACUUGAAGAUUCUACAAUAGUCUCCUUGGAAGAAAAGGUUGCCAUAUUUUUAUAUGCAGUUGCAAAAAAAGCUAGUAAUGAAACCUUGCAGGAUAGGUUCCAGCACAGUGGGCAAACCAUCAGUCGACACUUUGGAGAUGUACUAGAGGCAAUUACAAAGCUUGCAAGCAUCUAUAUACGCCCACCUUCUCUUCGACCACAUCCAGUCUUGAGGAGAUCACAUUUCCAUCCCUACUUCAAUGUAAGCAUACAUUUUCAUAUAUUUCUGACUUUGUAUUGGUAA